GUCGAACGCUGGCGGCGUGCCUAAUACAUGCAAGUCGAACGCAGUGGGGCCGGGUGAGUAACCCGUGGGUAACCUCCCAUCAGAGGGGAUAACACUUGGAAACAGGUGCUCAACCGAUACUGAUGGAUGGUCCCGCGGUGCAUUAGCUAGUUGGUGAGGUAACGGCUCACCAAGGCCACGAUGCAUAGCUGGUCGGAGAGGGUGAUAGGCCACACGGGGACUGAGACACGGCCCAGACUCCUACGGGAGGCAGCAGUAGGGAAUAUUGGGCAAUGGACGAAAGUCUGACCGAGAAACGCCGCGUGAGUGAAGAAGGUUUUCGGAUCGUAAAACUCUGUAGUUAGAGAAGCGGUAUCUAACCAGAAAGCAACGGCUAACUACGUGCCAGCAGCCGCGGUAAUUC
rnacentral:rRNA from 1 species